rnacentral:rRNA from 1 species
CACCCGCGCCACAAGUGGGGAUCGCAUUAUUGGGUCUAAAGCGUCCGUAGCCGGUCGUGUAAAUCCUCUGUGAAAUUGUUCUGCUCAACAGAACAACGUGCAGGGGACACUGCCCGACUUGGAACCGGGAGAGGUUGGAGGUAUUCCUGGGGGAGCGGUAAAAUGUUAUAAUCCCAGGAGGACCACCGAUGGCGAAGGCAUCCAACCAGAACGGGUUCGACGGUGAGGGACGAAAGCCAGGGGAUCGAUCCGG